rnacentral:rRNA from 1 species
UACGUAGGGGGCAAGCGUUGUCCGGAUUUACUGGGCGUAAAGAGCGUGUAGGCGGCCACGCAGGUCCGUUGUGAAAACUGGAGGCUCAACCUCCAGCUGUCGACGGAAACCGUAUGGCUAGAGUCCGGGAGAGGAGAGUGGAAUUCCUGGUGUAGCGGUGAAAUGCGCAGAUAUCAGGAAGAACACCAAUGGCGAAGGCAGCUCUCUGGGACGGUACUGACGCUGAGACGCGAAAGCGUGGGGAGCGAACAGG